rnacentral:tRNA from 1 species
GAGCCAUUAGCUCAGUUGGUAGAGCACCUGACUUUUAAUCAGGGUGCCGCUGGUUCGAGUCCAGCAUGGCUCA